AUAUAAAUUCAUGACUGGGUUAAUGCACCAUAUCCCAUCAAAACUACACAGUUAAGCACAUUUGGGCUAGAGUAGCAUUGGGAUGGGUGACCUUUCAAGAAGUCCUAGUGUUGCACC
rfam:Picea glauca, whole genome shotgun sequence.